rnacentral:lncRNA from 1 species
GCUAUACAGAGAAACCCUGUCUUGAAAAACCAAAAAAAAAAAAAAAAAAAAGAGUGGUGACUAAGAGGCCAAGAGACCUGUAUGGUUUUUCUCUCUAAGUUUUAAAAAAUUAUUCCAUAUAUUUUAAAGUUGUAAUUAUAUCCUUACUUAAUGUUACAUGAUACCUUGAUUGCUAAAAGACUGGGCUAUAGGAAUUAGGAAAGCUGGAGGAGGGAAAACCCACCCUAACUCUCCUGUGCUGGAGAGUUCAGGGUACCUGGCAGGUAUUCCAACCAACAUGUCCCCACAACAGGUAGGAGCUGAGGGAGACUAGCAGCCAGAAUCUGGUUUGAUAUGUUCACAGUGACCCCAACCACUUGUCCAAAUUUGAGAACUAACAAUUAAAAUUAUUUUAGUGACUUUGGUUAAUAAUGAAGGCAAUUUUGUUGUUGUUGUUGCUUUAUUGAGACAUGGUUUGACUUUGUAGUCCAGGCUGGCCUGCAACUCACUGUGUACCUCAACCUGCCUUAGUUUCCCCAGUGCGGACACUACAGGCAUAAACCACCAUGCCCAGGCAAAAUAGUUUUAAUAACAUGUGAAUUAUGUUAAAUUUUAAAUUAUUAUUUAAAACCAUGCAAAUUGAUUUUGUAAAUUAUUUGAGUCAAUAAAACAGUAUUGAUGUUGGUUUGGGAGUUGUUCUCAGGAGUUAGGAAGGACAGUGAAAAGAGAGAAGUUAAGGGCAGGUUGAGCAGAAACUUCCCUGUGAGAAGCUGUCAGCAGCAGGAGGGGAGCUAGCCCAGAAGACUGAUUUCUGCAGCAUCUCCCUGCAGCACUGACUCUGUUCUCAACAGCUCUGCAGGCUGGAGCUGAAUCCUCUGUGUUUCCAGGCCCUGCAGCUGCCUGUGCAGGCUUGGUUUCCUGAGGUGCUUGAGAGCAGCUGGCAUGUGGGUGGGGCCCAGGAACUCUGGCCUGGAUUCUGUGGCUAUAGGCCUUUCUUUUUGUUUGACCUUCUGACAAGAUUUAACAAGUUUCUUGAGGCAAGAAGCCCUCUUCCUCCAACACUGUGUUCCCUACUGCCCUGCAUACCUUUUCCUAGAGGCCCGCACUGUAACCAGAUGGCUCUACAAUGCAGCCCUGCAGGAACUAGCUUAUUGGGCAAUGCUAUCCUUACUAUCUGUGCAUGAAGCAUGUGGAAGGCCAUGCCUUGGUUUUGGGGUAUUUAUGUAAAUAAGCACCUAAAAGAAAAUAUUCACUUGUACUUUUAAGGCAGGUUAAAUGGAUAUUAUGAACUCCUGUCCUGCUUUGGGCCACCACAUACUUGAUUUAUUUAAUAAGUUGUUCUCAUAAUCAAGAAUAACAAGGGAGCUUAGAGCCUGUUAGUGUAGCUUCCUUGAUCUGAAGCAAAUCAAAGAGGUCAAUUAAUUACUCAUGAUGACAUUUUAUAUAUUAUUAUUUUACUUUUGUAAUUACCACAGUCCUUAUAAUUAGUCUUCUAAUUACUUAAAAUAUUUAACAUUAAGUAGGGAUAUAAUUACAACUUAAAAAUAUAUGGAAUAAUUUUUUAAAACUUAGAGAGAAAAACCACACAGCUCUAUAGAGAAUAUUUUAUAUAUCAACAAUUAUUUGUAAUUAUUUAAGC